UACGGGGGGAGCAAGCGUUGUUCGGAAUUACUGGGCGUAAAGGGCUCGUAGGUGGCCAACUAAGUCAGACGUGAAAUCCCUCGGCUUAACCGGGGAACUGCGUCUGAUACUGGAUGGCUUGAGUUCGGGAGAGGGAUGCGGAAUUCCAGGUGUAGCGGUGAAAUGCGUAGAUAUCUGGAGGAACACCGGUGGCGAAGGCGGCAUCCUGGACCGACACUGACACUGAGGCGCGAAAGCCAGGGGAGCAAACGGG
rnacentral:rRNA from 1 species